rnacentral:tRNA from 1 species
GUGGCCGUAGUUCAGUUGGUAGAACUCGAGAUUGUGGUUCUCAUAGUCAUGGAUUAGAAUUCCACAGGUCACC